UGCAAGUCGAGCGGAUGACGGGAGCUUGCUCCUUGAUUCAGCGGCGGACGGGUGAGUAAUGCCUAGGAAUCUGCCUGGUAGUGGGGGACAACGUUUCGAAAGGAACGCUAAUACCGCAUACGUCCUACGGGAGAAAGCAGGGGACCUUCGGGCCUUGCGCUAUCAGAUGAGCCUAGGUCGGAUUAGCUAGUUGGUGAGGUAAUGGCUCACCAAGGCGACGAUCCGUAACUGGUCUGAGAGGAUGAUCAGUCACACUGGAACUGAGACACGGUCCAGACUCCUACGGGAGGCAGCAGUGGGGAAUAUUGGACAAUGGGC
rnacentral:rRNA from 1 species